rnacentral:rRNA from 1 species
UACGUAGGGUGCGAGCGUUGUCCGGAAUUAUUGGGCGUAAAGGGCUCGUAGGCGGUUUGUCGCGUCGGGAGUGAAAUCCACUGGCUUAACUGGUGGCUUGCUUUCGAUACGGGGCAGACUGGAGGUAUGCAGGGGGAGAACGGAAUUCCUGGUGUAGCGGUGAAAUGCGCAGAUAUCAGGAGGAACACCGGUGGCGAAGGCGGGUUCUCUGG